rnacentral:rRNA from 1 species
GAUGAACGCUGGCGGCGUGCCUAAUACAUGCAAGUCGAGCGAACGGACGAGAAGCUUUCUUCUCUGAUGUUAGCGGCGGACGGGUGAGUAACACGUGGAUAACCUACCUAUAAGACUGGGAUAACUUCGGGAAACCGGAGCUAAUACCGGAUAAUAUUUUGAACCGCAUGGUUCAAAAGUGAAAGACGGUCUUGCUUUCACUUAUAGAUGGAUCCGCGCUGCAUUAGCUAGUUGGUAAGGUAACGGCUUACCAAGGCAACGAUGCAUAGCCGACCUGAGAGGGUGAUCGGCCACACUGGAACUGAGACACGGUCCAGACUCCUACGGGAAGCAGCAGUAGGGAAUCUUCCGCGAUGGGCGAAAGCCUGACGGAGCAACGCCGCGUGAGGGAUGAAGGUCUUCGGAUCGUAAAACUCUGUAAUUAGGGAAGAACAUAUGUGUAAGUAACUGUGCACAUCUUGACGGUACCUAAUCAGAAAGCCACGGCUAACUACGUG